AGGCACUGUCUUGGAACCUCUGUGUGUCUGACCUGUGGCCUCAGGGUCUAGAGACAUUGCCAGAGCAGAUGGAGCUUGUUCACAUCCAGGGCUGCUUGGUGCUACCUAAGUGAUUCCUUUAGCUGCAAGCGCCAGUC
ensembl:snoRNA